rnacentral:misc_RNA from 1 species
AUGCGAUAAGUAAUGUGAAUUGCAGAAUUCAGUGAAUCAUCGAAUCUUUGAACGCACAUUGCGCCCGUCAGUAUUCUGGCGGGCAUGCCUGUUCGAGCGUCAUUACGCCCCUCAAGUCCCCUGUGGACUUGGUGUUGGGGAUCGGCGAGGCUGGUUUUCCAGCACAGCCGUCCCUUAAAUUAAUUGGCGGUCUCGCCGUGGCCCUCCUCUGCGCAGUAGUAAAACACUCGCAACAGGAGCCCGGCGCGGUCCACUGCCGUAAAACCCCCCAACUUUUUAUAGUUGACCUCGAAUCAGGUAGGACUACCCGCUGAACUUAA